rnacentral:tRNA from 1 species
GCCCUGGUAGCUCAGUGGUUAAAGCAUUCGACUGCUAACCAAAAGGUCAGUGGUUUGAAACCACCAGUGGCU